AACACAUGCAAGUCGAACGAGAAAGGGACUUCGGUCCUGAGUAGAGUGGCGCACGGGUGAGUAACGCGUAGGUAAUCUACCUCUGCAUCUGGGAUAACACUUCGAAAGGGGUGCUAAUACCGGAUACACUUAUCAAUCGCAAGGUUGAUAAGGAAAGGAGACCUCUCCUUGGAAGUUUCUGUGUAGAGAUGAGCCUGCGUCCCAUUAGCUAGUUGGCAGGGUAAUGGCCUACCAAGGCGACGAUGGGUAGCGGGUCUGAGAGGAUGAUCCGCCACACUGGAACUGAAACACGGACCAGACUCCUACGGGAGGCAGCAGUGAGGAAUAUUGGACAAUGGGCGCAAGCCUGAUCCAGCGACGCCGCGUGAGUGAUGAAGGCCUUUGGGUCGUAAAGCUCUGU
rnacentral:rRNA from 1 species